UAACGGCGAGUGAGCGGCAACAGCUCAAAUUUGAAAUCUGGCAGCCUCCGGGCGGUCCGAGUUGUAAUUUGAAGAGGAUGCUUUUGGCGAGGCGCCUUCCGAGUGCCCUGGAACGGGACGCCACAGAGGGUGAGAGCCCCGUAUGGUUGGACGCCGAGCCUCUGUAAAGCUCCUUCGACGAGUCGAGUAGUUUGGGAAUGCUGCUCAAAAUGGGAGGUAAACCCCUUCUAAAGCUAAAUACUGGCCAGAGACCGAUAGCGCACAAGUAGAGUGAUCGAAAGAUGAAAAGCACUUUGAAAAGAGAGUUAAAUAGCACGUGAAAUUGUUGAAAGGGAAGCGCUUGCGACCAGACUUGUGCCCGUCGAAUCAGCCGCCGCUCGUCGGCGGCGCACUUCGGCGGGCUCAGGCCAGCAUCAGUUCGCUGCAGGGGGAGAAAGGCGGUGGGAAUGUGGCUCUUCGGAGUGUUAUAGCCCGCCGCGCAAUACCCCUCGGCGGACUGAGGACCGCGCAUCUGCAAGGAUGCU
rnacentral:rRNA from 1 species